AUGAGCAUCGUCCCCAAGGAGACGAUCGAGGUGAUUGCGCAGAGCAUCGGCAUCCCCUCCCUCCCCGCCGAUGUCUCCGCCGCCCUCGCCCCCGACGUCGAGUACCGCCUCCGGGAGAUCAUGCAGGAGGCUAUCAAGUGUAUGCGGCAUGCAAAGAGGACAGUUCUGACUGCGGAUGAUGUUGACAGUGCUCUGAGCCUAAGGAAUGUUGAGCCUGUAUAUGGAUUUGCAUCUGGUGACCCCUUGCGGUUUAAGAGAGCUGUGGGCCAUAAAGAUCUCUUCUAUAUCGAUGACAGGGAGGUAGACUUCAAAGAGAUUAUCGAAGCUCCUCUACCGAAAGCUCCACUCGACACAGCAGUUGUUGCUCAUUGGCUAGCGAUUGAGGGCGUCCAACCUGCUAUUCCAGAGAAUCCUCCUAUCGAUGCAAUUUCAGCACCAACUGAAAAUAAAAGGACAGAGCAUGCGAAGGAUGAUGGACUACCAGUUGACAUCAAGCUUCCUGUUAAGCAUAUAUUAUCUAGAGAACUCCAGAUGUACUUCGAUAAAAUAGCAGAGCUUACUAUGAGUAGAUCAAGCACCCCAGUUUUUAGAGAAGCAUUAGUGAGCUUGUCUAAAGACUCAGGCCUUCACCCGUUGGUUCCUUACUUUUCGUACUUCAUUGCAGAUGAGGUUACCAGGAGUUUGGCCGACCUUCCUGUCCUAUUUGCUCUCAUGCGUGUUGUCCAAAGCCUUCUCCGUAAUCCUCACAUUCAUAUUGAACCAUAUUUCUGUUUUCAGCAUAUUACUUCUAAAAUGGCAACACUUGUUUAUUGCCAGUUGCAUCAGUUGAUGCCAUCAAUGAUCACUUGCAUCGUCGCGAAAAGGCUUGGGCACAGGCUUUCAGACAACCAUUGGGAGCUUAGAGACUUCUCUGCCAAUUUGGUUGCUUCAGUAUGUCGGAGGUAUGGUCAUGUGUAUCACAAUCUCCAAAUCCGGUUAACAAAGACACUGGUCCACGCAUUUCUUGACCCUCAUAAAGCAUUGACGCAACAUUAUGGUGCUGUUCAAGGGAUAUCUGCAUUGGGGCCCAGUGCGAUUAGGCUUCUGCUUUUGCCCAACCUCCAGACGUACAUGCAACUUUUGGAUCCUGAAUUACAACUUGAGAAGCAAUCAAAUGAAAUGAAACGAAAGGAAGCAUGGCGUGUUUAUGGUGCCCUGCUGUGUGCUGCAGGCAAAUGCUUGUAUGAGCGGCUUAAGUUAUUUCCUAAUUUGCUCUCUUCGUCAGCUCGGCCGAUUCUGAGGAGCAAUAGCAGAGUUGCAACCAACAACCCAAAUAAACGGAAGUCUAGUACAGAUCUCUCAGCAUCUCAGCCACCUCUGAAGAAGAUGGCGUCGGACGUAUCGAUGAGUCCCAUGGGUUCAGCAGCUCCAGGGGCAGGAAACAUGCCAGGAAGCAUGGACGGGUUCUCCGCCCAGCUACCCAACCCCAGCAUGAUGCAGGCCUCAUCCUCCGGACAGAAGGUAGAAAGCAUGACAGCAGCAGGCGCGAUCCGGAGAGACCAGGGAAACAACCACGCGCAAAGGGUCUCCACGGUGCUGAGGCAGGCCUGGAAGGAGGACCAAGACGCCGGGCAUCUCCUGGGGUCGCUGCACGAGGUGUUCGGUGAGGCCAUCUUCUCCUUCAUCCAGCCACCGGAGCUGUCCAUCUUCCUGUAG
rnacentral:rRNA from 1 species